rnacentral:rRNA from 1 species
GAUGAACGCUGGCGGCGUGCCUAAUACAUGCAAGUCGAGCGAACAGACGAGGAGCUUGCUCCUCUGACGUUAGCGGCGGACGGGUGAGUAACACGUGGAUAACCUACCUAUAAGACUGGGAUAACUUCGGGAAACCGGAGCUAAUACCGGAUAAUAUAUUGAACCGCAUGGUUCAAUAGUGAAAGACGGUUUUGCUGUCACUUAUAGAUGGAUCCGCGCCGCAUUAGCUAGUUGGUAAGGUAACGGCUUACCAAGGCAACGAUGCGUAGCCGACCUGAGAGGGUGAUCGGCCACACUGGAACUGAGACACGGUCCAGACUCCUACGGGAGGCAGCAGUAGGGAAUCUUACGCAAUGGGCGAGAGCUUGACGGAGCAACGCCGCGUGAGUGAUGAAGGUCUUCGGAUCGUAAAACUCUGUUAUUAGGGAAGAACAAAUGUGUAAGUAACUAUGCACGUCUUGACGGUACCUAAUCAGAAAGCCACGGCUAACUACGUG